rnacentral:rRNA from 1 species
AGAGUUUGAUCCUGGCUCAGAUUGAACGCUGGCGGCAUGCUUUACACAUGCAAGUCGUGCGGCAGCGCGGGGGCAACCCUGGCGGCGAGCGGCGAACGGGUGAGGAAUACAUCGGAACGUACCCCGGAGUGGGGGAUAACCCAGCGAAAGUUGGACUAAUACCGCAUAUGCUCUGAGGAGGAAAGCAGGGGACUUCGCAAGAGGCCUUGCGCUCUGGGAGCGGCCGAUGUCCGAUUAGCUAGUUGUGGGGUAAUGGCUCACCAAGGCGACGAUCGGUAGCUGGUCUGAGAGGAUGAUCAGCCACACUGGGACUGAGA